rnacentral:rRNA from 1 species
AUUGAACGCUGGCGGCAGGCCUAACACAUGCAAGUCGAGCGGGGUUUUCGGACCUAGCGGCGGACGGGUGAGUAAUGCGUAGGAAGCUACCCGAUAGAGGGGGAUACCAGUUGGAAACGACUGUUAAUACCGCAUAAUGUCUACGGACCAAAGUGUGGGACCUUCGGGCCACAUGCUAUCGGAUGCGCCUACGUGGGAUUAGCUAGUUGGUGGGGUAAUGGCUCACCAAGGCGACGAUCCCUAGCUGGUUUGAGAGGAUGAUCAGCCACACUGGAACUGAGACACGGUCCAGACUCCUACGGGAGGCAGCAGUGGGGAAUAUUGGACAAUGGGCGCAAGCCUGAUCCAGCCAUGCCGCGUGUGUGAAGAAGGCCUUCGGGUUGUAAAGCACUUUCAGUAGGGAGGAAGGGUGUUGUGUUAAUAGCACAGCAUUUUGACGUUACCUACAGAAGAAGCACCGGCUAACUCUGUGCCAGCAGCCGCGGUAAUAC